AAAUCCUGCUCCACAAGCUCAGAGAAGGACCACAGCGUACGCGCAAAAACGCAAGCGCUGCCGCACACCUCAUCGCGUGUCCUGUAGUCUUCUCUUUGCCUCCCUUUCCGCUUUUACUCAGAGAAGUUGGGAGUGUCGCGGUCGGGCGCAUCCGCGCACCCAGCAACAUCUUCAGCCGGGGACACUCAACAUCUGCUCCCCCAUCAAUCGUUUCCUCUCACCAGGCCCAGGCGUUUCUCACCCGUUGUGGGGUGGUCCUCUUGCGCAUCAGCCAGCAAUACUGACUGGCUCUUUUCUGUUUUUUUUUUUCGUUUUUGUACAGUGUGCUUCCCCGUUACAUCAAGCCUCUUCUCUCGACGUCUCCCCCUCCCCCGAGACACCCACGCCAUCAUCCCCGACGCCAUAGCCAUCGGCACAUCGGCACACCGGCACACACGUGCAGACGCUAGGGUUUUGCCUUCUGUCUUCUGUGCGCCUAUCCAUCAUGCAGCGACAGGUGGCCGACUCGGAGGUGACGGUAGCGGCCUACACCUUCCGGCAACCGCCGCAAGGCUUUCAGGAGCCCAAGUACCGUGACCCGUCCAGCAGUCGCAAUGCAAGCCGAUACAUGCACAGCGGCUCGCAGCGGUAUGGAAACAUCAUGUACGACCGUCGAGUCUAUCGCGGCAACACGUACGCUAGCCCGAUCAUGUCGAUCGCCGCGCGAGCUGAGAUGGAGAAGCGCGAGAUGAUCGACACCCAGCGGCGCAAGCAAGCAUCGCAGCGCGCCGCCUCCAUCAAGCGUCGCAAGCAGUUGGAGGCGGCCCGGCGGCAUAUGGCAACCCCCGACCCGGGCGAAGGCCGGUACAAUACACAAAUCCAAACCGACGAGUACUUGGAGGAGCUAACGGACAAGGUGGAUCAGCAGGUGCAGGAGACACAGACGGACCCGCUCAUGGACCGACCAGUGACUCCAAAGUACGUCCCGAUCAAGUCCGGCCGCGAUGCGGAGACGCAAAUUCACGAGGGGGACUUGUUUCGCUUCGACGAGGCCGUGGAACCGAUCCUUGAGGUGCUCGUGGGCAAGACGUUGGAACAGGCGAUGCUCGAGGUGAUGCAGGAGGAGGAACUGGAGCUGCUGCGUCAGCAGCAAAUCGAGUUCGAGCAGCGCCGAAAGGAGGAGCUGCUGGAGACCCAGAAGCUCGAGGCGGAGGAGCGCCGCAAGUUUGAAGAAAAGGAGCGCCGCAAGAAGCAGGAGAUGGAGCGCAUCCAGCGUGAGAAAGAGACCCGUGAGAAGCUGCAGGCGAGGCAGUUUGCCAAGGUUUACAUGAGCAACAUGGAGAACCGUGUCUUUUCGCGACUGCAGGAUGAAGGGUGGUUUGCAGACCGCGUGCUGAACGAGGUGGAGCUGGACUUCUUCCCGUGGCUGAUGACCGAGGUCGACAGGGAGCUGGCCAAGAAGACAAAGGCCCGGGCGCUUGUCGACGAGCUCAUUCGGGACGUAGUUCGACUUAACGCCUCCCAGCUGGAAAAGAGUCGUGCAGCUGCGGCGGCAGCGGGGGAGGGGCCUGUGAUGGCUUAAAAGGCUCUCGCCGAUCUUUCUGCGCUUCUUUCCUCCCACACCGCACACGCGCACAGAGGGGUAGCCCUGGGGCCCUCAUUGUCGCCUUUCUUUCGCAGUGCACUACUCUAUAUAUGCGUGCCUCUUGCCCACCGGAUCUGUGGGCGACGGCGCCCUGCUCCACCUGCGGUCGCUUCUGCUGCUGUUGCUACAAUCGCCGCGACUCGUGCCGUCUCUGUUCGUCUCCCUCGUCACGUCUUUCUUCUCGUAAACUGCACCUUUUUCUUUGCUUCUUGAUCUACUUUUUCAUGUUUAUAGGAUGUACGAAUUUUCCUGUGGGUGGUCUAGAGGGAGCUCGCUUGACUGCCGCACUCGUAUGAGGCGCGCGCCUGGUCUCGGCGAGGACGUCAUCUCUGGUGGACAGGUGUGGUGAUCUUCCGCGCACGCACGCAAACGCGAUCGAGAGGCGGAGGGUCUGACUGGCCGGCGCGAUGCUUUCUUUUUUUUAUCUCGCUCGUGAGCGAGGAAGUGUCUGUCUUGCAUCUUGCUUAUCGCGUUCGGCUCCAUGGCCUCCUCUCUCUUCUCCCCGGGAUGUACCACUUGCCGAAAACUCAUUUCUCCUUUGUUAGACUUGCGAUCAUGUGUGCGCGGAAGAGGGAUGAGCCCCACUGCCGCGGCGCCGCUUUCUCCCUCUGUUGUUGUUCUCGCCUCUUCCAUGUUUUGUGCCGGCACACGCUCCUGUUACAGCGGCUCUUACUGCCCUCCUAUUGUGUGCUGCUUUCCGUGCUUCUGUGUGCCUCUCCUCGUGUGCCGCCUGCAGCGUGCGCUCGCUCACGUCUGCGCUCAGACGUUUGUGACUGUGUCCUGCUGAGGUGAAUCUGGUCGUUUCCAGAGCGUCUGUGGCGUGCGCCUCCCGCCUUUGUGUUCGCGAGAGGCCG
rnacentral:misc_RNA from 1 species